rnacentral:rRNA from 1 species
UACGUAGGGCGCAAGCGUUGUCCGGAAUUAUUGGGCGUAAAGAGCUCGUAGGCGGCCUGUUGCGUCCGCUGUGAAAUCCCGGGGCUCAACCCCCGGGCCUGCAGUGGAUACGGGCUGGCUGGAGGCAGGCAGGGGAGAACGGAAUUCCUGGUGUAGCGGUGAAAUGCGUAGAUAUCUGGAGGAACACCGGUGGCGAAGGCGGCAUCCUGGACCGACAUUGACGCUGAGGCGCGAAAGCCAGGGGAGCAAACGGG